GUUUGUCCUUUAGCUAAGUCAAAAACAAACUUUCCCUUUGAGGUUCUGAUUAUAUCUCCAUAAACCACACACAGAUGUGAUACAAGUUCAAGGAAGAACCAAGGAGCCCCAGGUUGAGACUUGAGAAAGCAGCCUGGAGCAGCAGGAGGUUUGGCUUAGAACACAUCUUACAGCGUCUCAUUUCUCCUGGUCUGUCCAACUUCAUCCCCACCUGAGUGUCCAUGCUCCCUCCUGCUCCAGGACAGUGCUUUCCAAAAGGUGGUCUGGAAACCUCACCUUGAAACCAUCUGGACAGCUACAGACCACCUCUGACCUGGACCAAUGACUCUGAGAGAAGGAGAGAGUGAAUGGAGAGAGGAGCAGAGGGAGAUGGAUAAGCAGACUCUGUGCCAAGCUUGGAACCCAACACAGGGCUCGAUCCCAAAACCCUGAGAUCAUGACCUGAGCCAAAAUCAAGAGUUGAAUGCUCAACCAACAGAGCCACCCAGGUGCCCCUGAGUUAUAUAUUUCUUGAUGCACGUGCACUAGAAGAUAAAUACUAUGAGGGCAUGGGCUUUGUUUUGAUGUGUUCCUAAUGGCAUGAUCAGUAAUGUUUGGCAUGUGGUGGGCCAAACAUUGUUAUUGAAGAAGUGAAUGAUUCACCAACUGAAUGAAUGAAGGGGAGGGUUUCAGGCAGGGAGAUCAUAUUCUAACUUUAGAAUGAUCAU